GACGAACGCUGGCGGCGUGCUUAACACAUGCAGGUCGAACGGAAAGGCCCCUUUGGGGGUACUCGAGUGGCGAACGGGUGAGUAACACGUGAGUAACCUGCCCUUGACUUCGGGAUAACUUCAGGAAACUGGGGCUAAUACCGGAUAGGAAUCCUUGCUGCAUGGUGGGGGUUGGAAAGCUUCGGCGGUUUUGGAUGGACUCGCGGCUUAUCAGCUUGUUGGUGGGGUAGUGGCUUACCAAGGCUUUGACGGGUAGCCGGCCUGAGAGGGCGACCGGCCACAUUGGGACUGAGAUACGGCCCAGACUCCUACGGGAGGCAGCAGUGGGGAAUAUUGCACAAUGGGCGGAAGCCUGAUGCAGCAACGCCGCGUGCGGGAUGACGGCCUUCGGGUUGUAAACCGCUUUCAGCAGGGGCGAAGCUUGUGGUGACGGUACCUGCAGAAGAAGCACCGGCUAACUACGUG
rnacentral:rRNA from 1 species